UGAGUGGGCCGAACGACCGCGGGCACAUUUUGAAAAAAAGUGCGUGAGGAAAGUCCGGGCUCCAUAGGGCAAGGAUAACGGGUAACGCCCGCCAGGGGUGACCCUCGGACAAGUGCAACAGAAAUAUACCGCCGAGCAUGCUCGGUAAGGGUGGAAAAGUGAGGUAAGAGCUCACUCGCCGGUCGGAGACGAUGCGGUGCUGUAAACUCUAUCCGGAGCAACACCGUGGGAGGACAUACGAUCUGCCCGAUCGUCCUCAGGAGGUGGCUAAAGCCUGUCGGCAACGGCAGGAUUAGAUAGAUGGUCGUUUAAGACAGAACCCGGCUUAUAGACCCACUCGCCAA
rfam:Firmicutes bacterium CAG:555 genomic scaffold, scf98